GACGAACGCUGGCGGCGUGCCUAACACAUGCAAGUCGAACGAAGAGAAUUGAGAGCUUGCUCUUGGAGAUCUUAGUGGCGAACGGGUGAGUAACGCGUAAACAACCUGCCUUCGGGAUGGGGACAACAGACGGAAACGACUGCUAAUACCCAAUGAACUAACCGAGCGAGUGCAAGGAAGAGAAAAGGUGGCCUCUCGAAGAAGCUACCGCCGGAAGAGGGGUUUGCGUCUGAUUAGUUAGUUGGUGGGGUAACGGCCUACCAAGACGAUGAUCAGUAGCCGGUCUGAGAGGAUGAACGGCCACACUGGAACUGAGACACGGUCCAG
rnacentral:rRNA from 1 species